AAUUAAUUCAAAUCUUCCAAUCUUUGCUAGGAGAAAGAGCUUGAAAGACGAAAACUAUUUAGACAGUCUUGACAAACGACUAACGUUUGCAUUUUGUUGCUGCUGAACAGCUGUAAAGCUAUAGCCUACUAAUUUAUUUGACGUGUUGAUACUCUGCUUUUUGUGACGAAUUAUUUGUACGGGAUAAAACCAAAUUCCAUAGAACGAUGUCUGGAAAUAAUAGAAUCGGAAGUGAAAUUUGGUAUCACUUCGAAAAACAGUACAAAAAGGGAAAAUGCAGAUAUUGCCAAGCUGUAUUGGCGAUAUCUGCAGGAUCAACAGCGAACUCAAAGCGGCAUUUGAAGAGCAAACAUCCGUUUGUCUCUACGAACGAGUUGGACAACGAGCUUCGAAAGCAGCAUCCGAAACAUUCGAUGGGAAUAGACCUGGAACAUCUGCAUCAAUUAAAUUAAGUGAUAAUGUUUCGUCUGUAGAGUCAUCUACUCCGAUGCCUGUUCCUGUCGGAAUGAACCCUCAAAAUGAUCUGUCGGGAAUACCACCCGUUCUCUUUAGUAGAAGAUGAGGAAUUUAAAAAAAUCGUCUUUGUCCUUCAUACUCACUGCCGAGUAGAAAGACCCUUUCAAACAGCUUGUUGACGGCUGUACAUGAAGAUUUGACAAGAUAGGUGAAGUUGGAGCUGGAAGCCUGCUGUUUGUCUUACCUGUGAUGGGUGGACAAACAUCAACAACAUCGGGUUUAAUGCUGUCACUGCACAUUUCUUCGGAACGAAUACCGAACUGAAGGCAUAUUUACUCGAGUGUUCGGAGUUUGAAGAACGACAUACCCGGGAGAAUAUCGCCCAGUGGACAAAUACUGUUAUAGGAAAAUACGGCAUACAAAAUGAUGAUGUUGGAUUAAAGAGGCUUUAAACUUUUCAGUUCAUUCGCCUCUAAAAACAUACAAAAUAAAAUCACAUCUAUCGUAACCGACAACGCCGCAAACAUGAAAUCCGCAUCAUCAACUCUUAAAAUAAGACACCUUCCGUGUUUUGCCCAUACGAUUAAUUUGGACGUUCAAGUUUCAAUUUCUAAAUCAAUUAGAUAUGUGGAUGACAAGACCAACGACAUAGUACAAUACUUCAAAAAAAGCUCGUAUGCUCUCUCGAAGCUGCAUGAUAUACAAAAUGAAAUGAACAUGAGGAGUUUGAAACUGAAUCAAGAUGUUCCCACGCGUUGGAACUCAACGUAUGAUAUGCUGGACCGCGUUCUUGUUAAUAAAGAAGCUAUAAUAUCAACGUUGGCGAUACUUAAUUCCGAACUAAACCUGGAAGCGGAGAUUGGGAGAUUAUCGAACACAGUAUAAAAUUAUUGAAGGUAUUAGAUGAAGUGACCGUAGAAAUUUCAAGGGAGAAAAAAGUUUCGCUUUCAAAAUGUGCGAUGCUUUCCAAAGUCUUGA